rnacentral:lncRNA from 1 species
GCAACAAAAACAGACAAUAAAUUCACAUCAAGGAUGCCAUCCAGGACACCAGUACACACUGAAAUCUGUGAUCUGAAUGUGCCACAGGGCACGUGAAAAAAAGAAAUCACCCUUGAAUAAGUGGGACUAUCCAACAGAAAUGCCGAACAAAGUUAGAGAUGCUCAAGACACUGCCCUUUCCAGACAAAAGGAGUGUAUUUAUGGCUUCUGCAGUUCAUCAUCUACAAUCAAACAAGAAAUUAUAUACCAUUCUUGGCAAAAAAAAAGCCAAUAUACAGUGACAUAGUUCUUCCUCAAUUAAAAAGUUACAGCUUUGUGUUUUCUUGAGAAAAUACAAAUAUUUCUGAAAUCACAGCAUAUGUAGCGUUUAUUGUUUUUCUUGGACAGUAAGUUAUAAAGAAGUAGCUUAUGAAUCAGUAGCUAGAAGUUUUACUUCCUGGUUUCUAUUAAAUCUUAUGCUAUUUGCUCCUGAUUUAGGGCCCAGGAAAAGCAAUUAUAACUUGCAUGCACCAACUUGCUGAGUUACUGAGCCAGUUUAUCUUUGCUUGUCUAAACAAAGGACUGUAAAGCAUAAAAAAGUGAUUUAAAGAAUUUUUGCACUGAGUUGUCACUUUGAACUCUUAUAACCACAGAAAAUUGUACCAUAUCUCAAAUUUAAAACAAAGUAAACCAAAAACCUCACCACAAUUUUCUUUUUCUGUGAAAUUUUCUGUCAUAAGAAGAUAUGUUCAGAAAGGUCUAAUAUUGAUAUGACAUUUUCUCUAAGAGUGUUCUGCAAAAACACCUAAGAAGUUUCCUGAAACUGGCACAAGAUUUUGUUUUAGCUGCCUAAGUUAGAUUACAGCAAGUCAAACACUCUGUAUAUUUCAGAAAAAUAUGCUGAUGGGUGAACCUAUCAAGAAAGGAUUUACCUAAAUGCUGUUCUCUCAAGAUGAUAGUAGUAAAUGAGUCCUUUGUAGGAAGGCUAUUUCAAAAGCCAAAAGUUGUUACACUACAUAUAUAAUGAUAAUGAGCUGUUAGAAAACUUCCUGCUCACUAUGAACUUUGAAUAAACAGUUAAAUCCUAAGUUAGCUCUUCA